GACGAACGCUGGCGGCGUGCUUAACACAUGCAAGUCGAACGGAAAGGCCUCUUUCGGGGGGUACUCGAGUGGCGAACGGGUGAGUAACACGUGAGUAACCUGCCCUUGACUUUGGGAUAACUUCACGAAACUGGGGCUAAUACCGGAUAGGAGCUCCUGCUGCAUGGUGGGGGUUGGAAAGUUUCGGCGGUUGGGGAUGGACUCGCGGCUUAUCAGCUUGUUGGUGGGGUAGUGGCUUACCAAGGCUUUGACGGGUAGCCGGCCUGAGAGGGUGACCGGCCACAUUGGGACUGAGAUACGGCCCAGACUCCUACGGGAGGCAGCAGUGGGGAAUAUUGCACAAUGGGCGGAAGCCUGAUGCAGCAACGCCGUGUGCGGGAUGACGGCCUUCGGGUUGUAAACCGCUUUCGCUCAUGACGAAGCUUUGUGUGACGGUAGUGGGCAAAGAAGCACCGGCUAACUACGUG
rnacentral:rRNA from 1 species